UGUAGGAGUGAGCCUGCUCGCGAUAGCGGUGUGUCAGUCAACAUAGAUGUAUCUGACAUUCCGCUAUCGCGAGCAGGCUCACUCCUACA
rnacentral:antisense_RNA from 1 species